AUUGAACGCUGGCGGCAUGCUUUACACAUGCAAGUCGGACGGCGGCACAGAGAAGCUUGCUUCUUGGGUGGCGAGUGGCGAACGGGUGAGUAACAUAUCGGAACGUACCGAGCAGUGGGGGAUAACUAAUCGAAAGAUUAGCUAAUACCGCAUAUUUUCUGAGGAAGAAAGCAGGGGACCUUUGGGCCUUGCGCUGUUUGAGCGGCCGAUAUCUGAUUAGCUAGUUGGUGGGGUAAAGGCCUACCAAGGCGACGAUCAGUAGCGGGUCUGAGAGGAUGACCCGCCACACUGGGACUGAGACACGGCCCAGACUCCUACGGGAGGCAGCAGUGGGGAAUUUUGGACAAUGGGCGCAAGCCUGAUCCAGCCAUGCCGCGUGUCUGAAGAAGGCCUUCGGGUUGUAAAGGACUUUUGUCAGGGAAGAAAAGGGCGGGGUUAAUACCCCUGUCUGAUGACGGUACCUGAAGAAUAAGCACCGGCUAACUACGUG
rnacentral:rRNA from 1 species